UACGAAGGGUGCAAACGUUUGCCUCGGAAUUAUUGGGCGUAAAGCGCACGUAGGCGGCUUUGUAAGUCGGAUGUGAAAUCCCUCGGCUUAACCAAGGAAGUGCAUCCGAAACUACAGAGCUUGAGUACUUAAGAGGAUCGCGGAAUUCCCGGUGUAGAGGUGAAAUUCGUAGAUAUCGGGAGGAACACCAGUGGCGAAGGCGGCGAUCUGGGAAGAUACUGACGCGUGAGGUGCGAAAGCGGUGGGGAGCAAACAGG
rnacentral:rRNA from 1 species